CAGAAAGACCCUAUGAAGCUUUACUGUAACCUGAAAUUGAAAUUGGACUUUAGUCGCGCAGUAUAGGUGGGAGGCGUUGAAAAUAUUCUUGCGGGAAUAUUAGAGCUAUCAGUGAGAUACCACUCUUCUAAUGUUAGAUUUCUAACUUUGAACCAUUAUCUGGUCAAAGAACAGUUUCAGGCGGGCAGUUUGACUGGGGCGGUCGCCUCCCAAAUGGUAACGGAGGCGUACAAAGGUUUCCUCUGAACGGGUAGAAAUCGUAUCUAGAGUAUAAAGGCAUAAGGAAGCUUGACUGUGAGACCUACAAGUCGAACAGGGACGAAAGUCGGUCUUAGUGAUCUGACGGUACUGAGUGGAAAGGCCGUCACUCAACGGAUAAAAGUUACUCUAGGGAUAACAGGCUGA
rnacentral:rRNA from 1 species